rnacentral:rRNA from 1 species
CAGCAGCCGCGGUAAUACGAAGGGGGCUAGCGUUGUUCGGAAUUACUGGGCGUAAAGCGCACGCAGGCGGCUCGAUAAAUUAGAAGUGAAAGCCUUGGGCUUAACCUGAGAAUUGCUUUUAAGACUGUCGAGCUAGAAUCCAGAAGAGGGUAGUGGAAUUCCGAGUGUAGAGGUGAAAUUCGUAGAUAUUCGCAAGAACACCAGUGGCGAAGGCGGCUCACUGGCCCGAUACUGACGCUGAGGUGCGAAAGCGUGGGGAGCAAACAGGAUUAGAUACCCCAGUAGUCCCUGUCUCUUAUAC